CCUUCGAUAGCUCAGUUGGAAGAGCGUGAGACUGUAAUGGAUAACGUCGUUUCAUCUCAAGGUCACUGGUUCGAUCCCGGUUCGAAGGA
rnacentral:tRNA from 1 species